GACGAACCGUGCAAACGUUAUUCGGAAUCACUGGGCUUAAAGGGCGCGUAGGCGGGCCGCCAGGUCCGGGGUGAAAGCCUCCAGCUCAACUGGAGAAGUGCCUUGGAUACCGGCGGCCUCGAGGGAGGUAGGGGCGUGCGGAACUUCGGGUGGAGCGGUGAAAUGCGUAGAUAUCCGAAGGAACACCGGUGGCGAAAGCGGCGCGCUGGAUCUCUUCUGACGCUGAGGCGCGAAAGCUAGGGGAGCAAACAGG
rnacentral:rRNA from 1 species